rnacentral:rRNA from 1 species
GAUCCUGCCGGCGGGCACCGCUAUUGGAGUUCGCUUAAGCCAUGCGAGUCGAGAGGGGUAAGCCCUCGGCGCACUGCUCAGUAACACGCGGACAAUCUGCCCUCGAGACGGGGAUAAUCCCGGGAAACUGGGAAUAAUACCCGAUAGGUCUGGGAUGAUGGAAGGCUCCCUGGCCAAAAUCUUCCGGGGCUCGAGGAUGGGUCUGCGGCCUAUCAGGUUGUAGGGGGUGUUACGGACCUCCUAGCCGACGACGGGUACGGGCAUUGGGAGAUGUCGCCCGGAGAUGGGUUCUGAGACACGAACCCAGGUCCUACGGGGCGCAGCAGGCGCGAAACCUCCACAAUGUGGGCAACCACGAUGGGGGAUUCCAAGUGGACGUAUUUUAUACGUCCUGUUCCCAAGCCUAAAAAGCUUGAGAAGUAAGGGCCGGGUAAGACGGGUGCCAGCCGCCGCGGUAAUACCCGCGGCCCGAGUGGUGCUCAUUAUUAUUGAGCCUAAAGCGUUCGUAGCUGGCCGGGUAAAUCCUUGGGGAAAUCGGGCGACCUAAUCGACCGAAGACCAGGGACACUACUUGGCUUGGGAUCGGGAGAGGGUGAUAGUACU